GAUUACAGAAAUACCACCCUGAAUGUUCCCAAUCUUAUCUGAUCUCAAAAGCUAAGCAGAGUUGGACCUGGUUUGUACUUAGAUGAUAGACUACCAGAGAAUACUGGGUGUUGUAGGCU
rnacentral:rRNA from 1 species